rfam:Triticum aestivum genome assembly, contig: Triticum_aestivum_CS42_TGACv1_scaffold_061695_1DL
AUGGUACUCCCUCCGUCCCAAAAUUCUUGUCUUACAUUCGUCUAGAUACGGAUGUAUCUAAUACUAAAACGUGACUUGAUACAUCCAUAUUUAGACAAAUCGAAGACAAGAAUUUUGGGACCGAGGGAGUAUUAA